rnacentral:sRNA from 1 species
AGGAACAGAGCAGAAUCACCAGGACUUAUGGGUAGCAGGAUGCGAUGCAGGAACAGCAGGAGACGAAGCCAAUCAGUCAGUGUGAGACUUCAGACGCUGCUCUUGGCCCAAGAAGACAAACCAAGACUUCCCCCACCGAGACCUCGGGUCUCCGACGUCCUUCCCCUGCUGCCUAGCCAGAUGCCCGGUCUUGUCUGCUAGACCAAAGCUGGAAGCCAUGAACUGCUAUGCUUCUGUGCACAAGGAACUGGGCCUUCAUUAUAGUAUGUAAGAGCAUCAGGGGGAAUCCAGAAAUGUGAAGAAAACUGAAGAGGCAACAUUUCCAGUGCACUUACUGUUGCUGCUGGCCACAUUGAAGCCUUUACCUUGGCACCACAUUUCCAAAGUAGGAAACGCACAAGAAGAGAGUUAUGGACUUUCAAAGACAGGAUUAUCACAGCAUGACACCGGGCCUGCUUACAAUGAUCUAGAUGCCGAGUGUUUGAGGAUUACUGAGCACACAGAUUUACAAAGCAUCCAGGCUGGGAGUGGAGCCCCGGUCAGCCAGGCUGGGAGUGGAGCCUGAGUAACAUGGAUGGGUCAGUCAGGCUGGAAGUGGAGCCUUGAUGAGAUGGAUGGGUCUGCAAGAACACAUCAGGACACCUAUGAUAGUGACUUUCAGAAGCCAUUUGUCUACCUCACUGGGGUCUAUUUAACCUUGCCAGUGUAGAUUCUAAGAGUUAAAAUGCAACUUAAAGUUUGAGGCCCACUACACAACUGGGGCCGGAAGUGAUGAAAUCAUCACGUCAAUGUUGACACAUGUGAUUCUCCUGCAGUGACUCCAAGCAACAGGACACGGUGUUUAUAAUGACUGCAGUUAAAAUGCAAAAUUUCCAUAACUUCACGUUCAGUGACUUCAUUCUCAAAGGCUGCAGACCGACUGGACUUUGGCCACUACUAUCACUGGGAAGCUGUAAUCUAGAAUCUAGAGCUGUGUGGAAGAAGCGGUCUCUGGACUGUCUAGGAACUCCGAUGAGCCUGUGUCCUAUAAGGACUUUCCCAGGAGGGAAGGGACACCCACAGCCUUAGCCCUGCCUUUGGGUCAGCCUGCCUUUGCCAUCACAGUUCGGGCGUGGCUCUUCCUCAUGUCCCCAACCUGGGAACCUCUUGUUUAACCCACAGGUAGUGUUUUUCCAAUGGCCUCGUUGGCACACAGGAAAGUGUCAGAUGGCCCUGUCUGCAGUUAGCAAGAGUAGUCAUAAAUCAUUUAACGGCAGGACACACAGGGGUCACCCUGAGAAGUGUACUGUGAGAAUUCCACUUACUAUGUGAUCCCUAAGCCUAGAAGAUAAAGCCAACUGCUCGCCCAGCCACACAGUGUGUCUGAUACAACUAACGAAGGACCCCUGCACCCACAUGCACAGAAACAGUGUGAGGUUAAAUCACACCAAGAGUCAAGGUUGGCUGGGGUGUGGUUCAGCCGGUAGGGUGCUCGGUUUGAGUAUUCAGGGCCCUAGCUCCUAUCCCCAGGACCACAUAAAACAGGAAUAACAGAGCACACCUGGAAUCCCAGCACCCGGGAGCUGGGGGGCAGAAGGACUAGGAGGUCAAGGUCACUCUUUGUUAAGUGACUUUGAGAGGCUGUGUGCCAAGGCUUGGUGUAGACUGAAUCUGGGACAUCCCUUCAGGAUGGUCCCCAGCUCCGGGGUUAGGAAGUGAUUCCAUCACGAGGGCUCUGCCUUCACAGAAGGAUUGAGCCAAUGACAGGUUUGAAUCCUGAAUAGAUGGUUGGGAGGUGGUGGAACUGUGGAAGCUGGGGCCUGGCUGGAAGAAGUAGGUCACUGGGUCACUGAGGGGUGUCUCGUCCUGACUCCUCCCCUUUCCUGCUCACUAAAAUCUGAGGUACUCCACUCCACUAUGCACAAAACCGUGGGGACAGUGAACAAGAUCAACCUGGCCUUCCUUCAGUUGUCCUCCUGAACUCCUGUUUUAUCAGUGAGAACGCAUCCUCAAAUAAGGAUGGGAGGAAAACACCGACACACAACAGACCUCUUUCCUCCUUGCAGUGACCAAAGAAAACAGGCAGCUUAAAGGAGGACAGGUGGAUUUUGGCUCACAUUUUGGGCAAUAUGAUCUAGUAUGGUAUAAAGCACGGUGCCAGGAACACCAGACCCAGCUGACCGUGUUGCAUCCCCCAGGAGAGAAACCGACAUCAGGGAGGAGUUUGGACUUAUCAACCAAAUGUCAGGGUCCACCCACAGUGACCCACUUCCUCCAGUGAGACUCCACCUUCUAAAGGUUUACCAAGCUCCCCCAAACAGGGGGGCAUUUUAACAUUCAAAGUAUAGCAGUGUGCCGUAUCCUAUGUGUGCUGGAUGGAGCGCCGUGUCAGGUUUGCUGACACCAGGGAGCCAUGGUGCUGUAAUGUUGUCCUGGCUACAGUAUCGCUCAUCAUUUGAAUUUUUUCAGCUUUAUUAUCACGUCACAGGACCAAUUUGUGCACGCCGUCCAUCACAGACUGAGAUGUGGUCACGGGUAUGUGGUAAUUCACAAGAACAUUCAUCCUCCGAGGAGUUGCCCGCAAAGGGGGACUCCUGAGCAGAGAGGAGCAGCAAGCAGUCUCAGAGUUUACAGAUGGAGCUGCGUCUGUCUCUUAUACAACCUGCUCUUCACAGCCAGGGCUCAGCACAGCACAGGGCACCGGUGAUGGUUCUGACUUACCCCUACCUCACCGCCUACACCCUGGGUUCUCAGGUGUGGGGACUUACGGCGCUGAGAUAGGGCCCUGACUCAGCUGCUGUGAUUCCGUAGGAGACAGACGCUUGUUCUCACAGCCUGAGCCAACGCUGACAUCCUAACCUUUCUGUGUCCCAGUGUCCCGGGAGGGAUGAAUGGAGAGACACACAGCAUGCAGACAGCAAUCACAGCCUCCCCCCGGAGCAAGCCCAGCUGCCUUGAGCGACAGAAAUCACUGUCCGGGUCAAUAAUGCAAAAUCAAGAAAUAAUGGCUUUCGUUGUCUGAGAUAAUAAAAUGACAGCACCAACC